rnacentral:rRNA from 1 species
UACGGAGGAUGCAAGCGUUAUCCGGAUUUAUUGGGUUUAAAGGGUGCGUAGGCGGGACUGUAAGUCAGGGGUGAAAUACUGCAGCUUAACUGUAGCAUUGCCUUUGAAACUGCCGUUCUUGAGUACAGUUGAGGUAGGCGGAAUGUGGUGUGUAGCGGUGAAAUGCUUAGAUAUUACACAGAACACCAAUUGCGUAGGCAGCUUACUGAGCCGACACUGACGCUGAGGCACGAAAGCGUGGGGAUCGAACAGGAUUAGAUA